rnacentral:lncRNA from 1 species
UCUAUCUAUAUACUUAUUCAUCUAUUUAUAUAUCUCCUCUUUCAAUACCUAUAAUAUCGAAAGAAAACGAAUUGGAUAUUAUCUUCGUUCUCUUUUUAUGUAGCUUACAUCACUAAAACUCUUUCUUUUUAUGCCUUUUAGAGAAGCAAGAUAGAGAAAGAGAUAUAGCAAGAUAAAGAGAUAGCGAGCGAGGAAGAGCAAAAGAGAGAGAAAAAGAAAGAAAGAAAGAAAGAGAGAAUAAGAGAUAGAGAUAUUUGACAAAUCUCAUCCUAUUAAGCAGGUGUUUUCUCUUACUACUCGUCUCUAUCUCCUUACUAACGAUAUAUUAUGGAUGUAUCUUCUUUUCUCAUGUUAUUUUUACCUCACCACGAAAAUAUCGCGUAAGUACAAACGAUAAUAUUUGUCGCAACAUAUGUGAUAUUUAUACAUUUUCUAUUGACAAAUAUAUAAAAGUAAUUCUUUUUUGAUA